CUGUUUAUCAAAAACAUAGCUUUAGGAACAUUGAUCUAAAGUUAAACCUGCCCAGUGUGCGNGUUAUGAAAAUAAAUUAUCAACGGCCGCGGUACUUUGACCGUGCUAAGGUAGCGCAAUCAAUUGGCUUUUAAAUGGAGUCAGGUAUGAAUGGAAUCACGGGGUUUAGCUGUCUCUGAACUAAUUUAUAGAAAUUACUUUAUAGGUGAAAAAGCCUAUGUGAAGAUAAAGGACGAGAAGACCCUUAGAGUUUUUUUUAAUGUAAAUUAUUUAUUUAUAAUAAUUUAGUUGGGGCAACAUAAGAACAGAUAAAAUACAACUUCUUGAAAUUUACCUAUCGAUUUUUAUAAGCAUGAAUAAACUACCUUAGGGAUAACAGCAUAAUUUAAGAUAUAAGUUUGUGACCUCGAUGUUGGACUAGGGAACUAAAUGGCUAGCCGNNUUUUAGAAAGGUUCUGUUCGAACUAUAAAUCCUACGUGANCUGAGUUCAGACCGG
rnacentral:rRNA from 1 species